rnacentral:tRNA from 1 species
GGAGGGGUGGCCGAGUGGUCGAAGGCGGCGGUCUUGAAAACCGCUGAAGGUGCAAGCCUUCCGUGGGUUCGAAUCCCACCCCCUCCGCCA